rnacentral:lncRNA from 1 species
AAGCAUUUUUCUUUUCUUUGGUACAGAUUGUUUUGCAUUUACUUCCUGAAGCAAUAAGUAGUUAUCAGACACUAUGUGCCAUUUCCUCUGACUUUUGACACACUUCCUUUUCAGAAAACUGAAAAAAAAUAAUAAUCAAAGUUCUACUUUGUUUAUCCUGGAUUUCCCAGUCUGAUGAAAUAUGUUGUUACACUACAUGAUCUGAACAAGAUUUUACAAAUGAUCAAAAUGUGACUUUUAUUGGAAAAUCAUGUCUUAUAAAUUGAGAUUCUUUGUACAUAUAUCUUAGUGUUCUUAACUGAUAAUACCUCUGGAGGCACCUUAAAGACAGAAAUAGCUAGUGCAUCAUUUUGGAUCUUAAAUUCCAUCCAUGACUGAGCAGAGCCCAGAAGCAUUUAUUGCAGAGUGCUUGACUUCCCCAGGAAGCUAAUGAUGGGGAUAGGAUGCCUGAACACAAGUAGAUACUACAGUCAGAAAGUGAGUGAGUUGCAAAACCAAAAUGAGAACCCAACAUUUUAAAAUUGCAGGUUGUAGGAAAUGAUUACUGUGAAGCAUUGAGUCAGACAUGGCAUGGUACAUACAGAAUGAAUCUGGGAUGCUCCCUGUUCAGUGUCCAGAUGAAAAAUAUGGUGUGUAUUUGACAUAUUAUUAAAGCCACAAUUUAAUAUGGAUUAUAUGGAUUUGCGCAGCUGGGACAGCCAUGAUAUUAUGACCUUCAAGAAACUGAUUUAUGCUACUGGUAGUUUUGCUGCUUCCUUCAGGAACAUGAAUCUUUUUCAGCUUUGUUUAUUUUUGCUGGAUAAGAGAACUUCAGCCAUCAAGCUUAUCAACAGAUGGUUUAGUUGCUGA